UAGCCCUUUGAAUAUUUAAAGGGUCCCGCCUGCCCAGUGGCCUAAAGGCUAAACGGCCGCGGUAUCUUGACCGUGCAAAGGUAGCAUAAUCAUUUGUCUUUUAAAUGGAGACUCGUAUGAACGGCGAAACCUUUUUCAACUGUCUCCCCUCCUAUCCUUCUAAAUUCCUCUCUAUGUGAAGAAGCAUAGAUAUUCCAGAAAGACGAGAAGACCCUGUCGAGCUUCAGUCUAUAAAUGAACAAUAACUCCUUUAUUCGUAUCAUCCAAAGGCUUUGGUUGGGGCAACCACGGAGAAAAAACAUCCUCCAGAACGAAUAGAAGAAAACUCUUCACUAUUAAACACAGCCUAGAACCAGGAACUGGUAUUCGGAAAAAGUUACCGCAGGGAUAACAGCGUCAUCUUCUCUAAGAGUCCUCAUUGACGAGAAGGUUUGCGACCUCGAUGUUGGAUUGGGGCCCCCUCAGGGUGCAGAAGCUCUGAACGGUUAGACUGUUCGUCUAUUAAAGCCCU
rnacentral:rRNA from 1 species